rnacentral:rRNA from 1 species
AGCCUACAACGAGUGGUGGAGCAUGUGGUUUAAUGCGAUAAUCCGCGCAAAACCUUACCAACCCUUGACAUAUUGAAAAAUAAUUUAAAUUAAUAAAUUUCUUUACAGGUGUUGCACGACUGUCGUCAGCUCGUGUCGUAAGAUAUUUGGUUUAUUCCUUUAACGAGCGUAACUCUUAUCUUUAAUAUUAAUUUGUACUUUUAUUUUUGGUUUUUUAAAAUACAAGCUUUAAAGAGACUGUCAAUGACAAAUUGAAGGAAGUGAGAAUUAAGUCAAGUCCCUGUGGCCCUUAUGGGUUGGGCUACACACGUGCUACAAUGAAAAUUACAGAAAGUUACUUUUGAUUUAAGUAAUUUUGUUAAUCUUUAAAAAUUUUCGUAGUUCGAAUUAUAAGCUGCAACUCGCUUAUAUGAAGGUGGAAUCACUAGUAA